rnacentral:rRNA from 1 species
UCCAGUUGAUCCUGCUGGAGGAUACUGCUAUCAGAGUCCGACUAAGCCAUGCAAGUCAGCCCGCAACCAUUGCGGACGGCGUAAGGCUCAGUAACACGUAGUCAAUCUGCCCUUUGGACGUGGACAUCCUCGAGAAAUUGAGGUUAACCCGCGAUAGGCCAUCUAUGCUGGAAUGCUUGAUGGUUUAAAGGUGCGCGCGAAUUGGAGUGCGCACGCCGGAGGAUGAGACUGCGGUUGAUUAGGUAGUUGGUGAGGUAACGGCUCACCAAGCCGAUAAUCAGUAGGGGCGAUGGGAGUCGGAGCCCCGAGAAGAGCACUGAGACAAGGGCUCUAGUCCUACGGGAUGCAGCAGGCGCGAAACCUCUGCAAUGCGCUAAAGCGUGACAGGGGGACUCUGAGUGGCGGAGAACUUAGUUCUCCGUCUUUUGACAAGCUUAGAUGGCUUGUAGAAUAAGUGCUGGGUAAGACCAGUGCCAGCCGCCGCGGUAAUACUGGCAGCACAAGUGGUAUCCACGAAUAUUGGGUCUAAAGAGUUCGUAGCUGGCUUGCUAAGUUCACUGUGAAAUCUUGGAGCCUAACUCCAAGGCGUGCAGUGAAUACUGGCAGGCUUGAGAGCGGGGGAGGCGUGGAGUACUUACGGGGUAAGGGUAAAAAGGAGAGUAUUGAAUGCCGUAAUGCGCAAUACUUUUCAUUAUAAUCUCGUAAUCCUGUAAGGACUCACAGUGGCGAAGGCGCCACGCCAAAACGCGUCUGACAGUGAGGAACGAAGGCUAGGAGAACAAAUCGGAUUAGAUUUGGAGCUAGGGAAACGCUAAUAAAUAACAACGGAUUGAUAGAAUUAUGAGAUUAGAGCGCCGGGUAAGAGACCUCGUGAGUAAGCAGAAACGAAAGCCGCUUAUGAAGGUUAAACUUCCAGUCGAAACAAGCCCAGAACUCUGUAGAGUGCUUGGCAUUCUACAUGGCGAUGGGAAUAUGUCUGGAAGACGAGUUUUGCUAACCGACGAAAACAGGGUGUUCCACAGAACGAUACAUAAACUGUUUAAAACGGUUUUUGGAAUUAGGAUGAAUCUGUUUCACGACAUAAGAAGAAAUUCGUAUUACAGUUAUACGAAAAGUGUCUUGGUGUAUCGUUUUUUGAACGAAAUAAUGGAAAUGCCCUGCGGUCCAGUAAGACAAAAUCUGAAGAUUCCGUCUUAUAUGGAAAAGCUUGGUUUGAAACACCAAGCAGAGUAUGUUGGCGGACUCUUUGACGCUGAAGGAUGCGUCAAAACAAGACAGGCCGAACUCAACCUCUCAUCUACUUCAAAGAAUAUCUUCAAGUUUAUUGGAGGGUUUUUGAAGAAGAUUGGGGUGACGUACAGUACGUAUGAGAGGAGAAGGCACAAAAAUCCGGAAUAUGAGAUAUAUGUUUAUGGAAAAGACGACUUGAAAAAAUUUU